AUACUCGGAAAUGGUGCGAGAUAUCGCAGAU
rnacentral:sRNA from 1 species